rnacentral:rRNA from 1 species
UACAGAGGGGGCAAGCGUUGUUCGGAAUUACUGGGCGUAAAGGGCGCGUAGGCGGCCAGCACAAGUCAGUUGUGAAAUCUCCGGGCUUAACUCGGAAAGGUCAACUGAUACUGUGCGGCUAGAGUGCAGAAGGGGCAACUGGAAUUCUCGGUGUAGCGGUGAAAUGCGUAGAUAUCGAGAGGAACACCUGCGGCGAAGGCGGGUAGCUGGGCCGACACUGACGCUGAUGCGCGAAAGCCAGGGGAGCGAACGGG